AGCUAUUAUAGCUUUUAGAAUGUUUCUAGCAGGUUUUCUGAGUAUGAUUGGAAAACCCAU
rnacentral:snRNA from 1 species